GACAAAAUGUCUGAAUUUUAGGUUGUAAAUUGUAAAUUUAUAUAUGAGUGUUUAUCUCUUUUGUCA
rnacentral:tRNA from 1 species